rnacentral:rRNA from 1 species
GUUUGAUCCUGGCUCAGAACGAACGCUGGCGGCAUGCCUAACACAUGCAAGUCGAACGAACCCUUCGGGGUUAGUGGCGCACGGGUGCGUAACGCGUGGGGAUCUGCCCUUUGCUUCGGAAUAACAGUUAGAAAUGACUGCUAAUACCGGAUGAUGUCGAAAGACCAAAGAUUUAUCGGCAAAGGAUGAACCCGCGUAGGAUUAGCUAGUUGGUGGGGUAAAGGCCUACCAAGGCGACGAUCCUUAGCUGGUCUGAGAGGAUGAUCAGCCACACUGGGACUGAGACACGGCCCAGACUCCUACGGAGGCAGCAGUGGGGAAUAUUGGACAAUGGGCGAAAGCCUGAUCCAGCAAUGCCGCGUGAGUGAUGAAGGCCUCGGUUGGUAAGUACGUCGUUUACCUACGGUAGUGAGUAAUAGACAGUACC